AAUCGGAAUUGUAAAGGUAGAUCAUGUAGAAUCAGAGAUACUGGUAGAAACUCUCUUGCAGAUUUACAGAUCUGCUGAUAAUAUUAAAACAAUGUUCAGCUAUGGAUUUCAAACUGUCUACAGUAUUGUCGUUUCUUAAUGAACCCGGAGUAUACCACAGAAAUGAUAAAUUAAUUAAUUUUACAUUAUCAUGCUGAACAAGAAGUUGGGAUUAUUAUAGUUGAAGAAAUUCAAUACCUGUAAUAGGAAAACAGAAUGUAUAGUUUACCAACUUUCUUUAAAAAAGGAAUCUUUUAAAGUUACUUUAAUUCUAAAAACAUUCUAAUACUGAAUUAAAAAUUGUCUAUUUAUAAUAUAAAAACAUAAAAUCUUGCAUCAGUCAGAAAUCGUAGCUACUCAUUAUCUGUUGUUCAUCUUCUCUGUAUUUUCAGAAAUCUGUGAAGAUUAAUGAAUUGGAAAUGCAUCUUAUUUUGAUCAUGGACGUCAGCUUUUACACUCUGAUAUUGGUCAACACAUUAUCCAAUUCUGCUGAUGUACACCAAUGAAUUUUUUUUAAUGUCGCUAAUGACAUAAGAAGACUUCUGAUAGACAGGUUAUCUGCUGCUGUUUCAUAACGCAAGAUAAUCAUAAGCUAAUGGUAAUGGUAAUGGUAAAUAUUACGGCGCACAACCUGGAUAGAUUAUUUGCGCCAGACACAUGAUAGUUCGAAACAAGUUACAGUUCAAUCCACACAUUAAUUCUAUGCAAUCACAAGUUUGAAACAAGAGUAGACUUCUAAAAUAAAAAGAGGUAAUAAAAAUAAUGAUAAAGUAACUCAUGAAUUGGGUAAUAAUAUACGAUGUGAUGCAAGUGUGAAAUCAUAAAAUAUGAGAUACAAUAAAAUUUAUAUCACUAAAAUCCCCAGACACAUUCAAAAAAUCAAAUUAAAUAACAAAAACCACUCUCCUUGAGGUAUGGAAAUAAAUUAGCAUUGGCCACUUUCCCGAUUAUAUGUUCAAGAGGCAAGUCAGAGUUAUUAAAAUAUUUCAAUCUAAGUGAGUUAAAAUACGGACAUUCAAUUAAAAUAUGACGAACUGAAAGAAUACUAUCACAGUGGGAACAAAGAGGUUCGCUCUCGGCCUUCAAAAGGUAGCUAUGUGUUAUAUGAGAAUGACCAAUACGCAGACGGGUUAGAAUUACAUCCUCCCUUCGGUUUCCUAUUGAGUUCCAGUCUUUAACUAGAAGUUUCAUGGUUUUAAGCUUAUUAUUAACAUGAGCAUCCCAUAGCAGCUGCCACUUCUCUAGGACUUUUCCCUUGAUAAUCCUUUUAAUAUCGGUCAGAGGAAUAUGCUGGCUGCACAGAUUAACAGCAGACUUAGCUGUGAUAUCUGCGAGCUCACAGAACUUGAUAUCCACGAAACUGUAAGCUUCGAUUUAAUCAACAACUACAAGAUUGAAAGCGUUGGAAAAAGUUUCUAAAGCUUUCAAUGCACUGUACGAAUCUGUAUAAAUAAUGAACUUUUUAUGGCUUAGCUUUGAUAUGUGAAAAAGCGCAUAAUAUAUAGCGGUCAGCUUAGAUGUCAAGACUGAGCAAGCGUAGUGCAAACGUCCGUCCUCAGUGUGGUCAUCUAUUACAAAUCCUGCUCCAACAUGGUCUUUUUGAUCUAUCUGUAUAUACGGCCACAUGAUCGCUAUAUUCAUAUCUGUGUUCGAAGAAGAGUUGCUUAUAUACGAUCUCGCAAGUGGUUCGCUUAUUGUGGCGCUGGAAAACAUUAAGAAGCUUGAUUUUCGCAUUUUCCCAAGGUUGGAUUUCAAUAUAAUAUACUGUUUGAGUGGUUAUAUCAGCUAUGACUCUUCGAUCAAAGAUCGAACUCUUAAGGAAAAGGAAGGAACACAAGAUCGUCGUGCUUGAAAGAGAAGAUGUCACCAAGCACACAUAGCUUACUAGGAUGGUCAGGUUGAGACAAUAUAUUAAAAUACUGUAGAAGAGACAGCUGCUCACGCUGCAAAUGGAGGGUUGGUUCAUAACAAUUAACAUACAGGCUCUGGAUUGGAGAUGUCCUAAAUGCCCUAGAACAAAACCUCAGUGCCUGAUGAUGAACUGGGUCUAGUUUCUGCAAAACUGACGGCCGUGCAGAUUCAUAAACAACUGAGGCAUAGUCUAGUCUACAAACGGACAAGUGCUCUGUAAACGGGAAAUAAAGACCAGCACUCUGCGCCCCAGGAGGUAUUCGACAAGACUUUUAGAAGAUUUAAUAUUUUGGUACACUUCUUCCGCUGAUGUAACACAUGAGAGAGGAAGAUAAGUUUUCGGUCGAACAAAUAACUCGCAAAAACUUUACUUCAGGUUGUACUGGAAUCACUGAUUCAUGAAUUCAGGCUCAGGAUGGAGACCUCGCUUCCUGCAGAAGUGCACGCAUACGGUCGGUGUCAAACAAACAAGGAUUUUUGUUUGUUGUGUCAAACAAACAAAAAUCCUUGUUUGUUUGACCAGUCUUGAAUUCGGUUCAGAGAUAUCUGUAGUUGCCUUUCUACAUGUUUCAUGUCUGCCCCAUGACAACUAAUCUGCAAAUAAUCAACAUAAUACGAUCCUGAAACAGUGGGAGGAAGUUGAUUUAAGACAGAGUUGAUUUUUAAUGUGAACAAAGUAACGCUGAGGCACACCCUCUUCUUGUAAAAAGACGUCUGAUAAAACAGCACCAAUCUUGACUUGAAAAUUCCUUACCCUUAAAAAAUUUUUAAUAAAAAUAAGCAGGUUGUCGCGCAAGCCAGAGUCGUGAAGAUCACGCAGUAUACCAUAUUUCCAUGCCUUAUCAUAAUCUUUCAACAUUUAAACCAGAAAUAUGAUUUAAUAUUUUCCUUAACAAAUGUACUAUUAAAAUUCAUAAAGGUCAUUAUUAUGCUAUUACAUUACCAUAACAAAUGAAAGAGAAAUGUGUUGAAAUUACAGUAUUUCGUUAUAAAAACAUUCCUUCCUCUAAUAUUGUUAGCACGAACAUAUUAUGUAUGCAGAAAAAUAUAUAGUUACAGAUAUAUCACGCUUUGUUUAUUUUAUUUCAUAAUUCUGAAAUAUUCGUUUAUAUAUAGAAAUAAAUGCAUAUAUAUAGUGGC
rnacentral:lncRNA from 1 species